CAAGUCCUCUUCUGAACCCUCAUUGCCAAAUAUCUGCAUGUUGUUAUGGAGCUGUCUCAGCAUGGGGUCUUUGAUGCCUGUAUCCUCACACCCUUAGAAGAUCCUGAGAAAGGAAGAUGGCAUGUGAGAAACUUCAAUGUCUUCCUGCCACGAGCAAUGUCUUCCUGCAAUCAGCCUCCAACUCUACACAUCCAAAGGUGCCACAGCCAUUUUGCAACCAUAAGGGAACAAGCAUGAAGACAGAGGCCUCCAUGCUAAGGACAUCAAAGCAGAAAUACAGAAAGAGCCUGGACCCAGAAAACAUCCAUGAAUAGCUGCAUUGGCCAUGGAUGGCCCGACGUUGGACUUAUUAUAUCAGAAAAAUAACCCCCUAAGUAAUUCUGAUAGAUUUUUUCAUUCUUGGAGCCAAACACGUUUCAAAUUGAUGCACUUCAUUUUAUGAAUGAGGAAACUAAAGCUCAGUGAGUUUGGGUAAUUUCUCCAAAGUCCUGUGGCCAGUAGAUGCUAGAAACAGGAUUUGUACCCACAUCUGCCCAGCACCAACACACAUGCUCUUACUCACAAGAGCACUGCAGUGCCCUCCCAUCACUGUAUCUGCAUCAGUUCACCACAUCUCAUCCUUCCCAAACCAUGUGUCACAGAACUCAGAUAUUAUUCAUAGAUAUGCCUCAGCAGAAAGGUUUCGGUGGUAAGUUAAGUUCUAAGAACACAGAGUUUUGUAUUCCCUUUUUGUAGAGAACCACAAAGCAUAUCAAAACAUCAGUUUCCAAAAAAAACAAAAAACCUAUUAUUAAGAAACCUGCUUGACUUUGAUUAAUUCAGUGGUUCCCAAACUUAUUUGAGUAUGGAACACAUUUUUUUAAAUGACUUUCCUAUAAAUACCUUCCAGAACAUUGUUCCCUUGAACACCAAUUUGGGAGAUCACUCACUGAAUUUUAAGCAUUAUUUCCUCAGCUUUGGUUUAAAGUAAAAGGAAAGUGAGUCACAAUUUUGUCCAUUCUGCACCUCCCGGUCCCCUAUGAAGUCCCAAAGGAUAAAUUUCUUUGAGAAUCUGGUGCCCAGAGCAAAAUAUGUACCUCCUGAGGAAGUUAUUUGCUUCCUUUUUAAAAAUAAAAGUAUGUGACUUACAGAGCUUCUCCUUUUGUUUUGGCUUUCUGGAGGCUGAGACAAAUGGGAAGCAAUUAUCAGCUCAGGUUCCUGGGUUUUACGGAUUUGUUGUUUUUUUUUCAAUCUGAUCUUGAUUUUUCCUCUUGAUCUUCCUUGUCUUAAUUCUGUAUUUAUGUUUUAUUUGGCAUUAUUGUAUAUGUUCUUGUGAAUGACAUUAUGUUUGUGGAAUAGAGUGGAGUACAAAUUCGUUAAAUAAAAAUCAAGACUGACC